rnacentral:rRNA from 1 species
UCCCGCAACGAGCGCAACCCUUAUCCUUUGUUGCCAGCGGUCCGGCCGGGAACUCAAAGGAGACUGGCAGUGAUAAACUGGAGGAAGGUGGGGAUGACGUCAAGUCAUCAUGGCCCUUACGACCAGGGCUACACACGUGCUACAAUGGCGCAUACAAAGAGAAGCGACCUCGCGAGAGCAAGCGGACCUCAUAAAGUGCGUCGUAGUCCGGAUUGGAGUCUGCAACUCGACUCCAUGAAGUCGGAAUCGCUAGUAAUCGUGGAUCAGAAUGCCACGGUGAAUACGUUCCCGGGCCUUGUAACACCGCCCGUA